CAAAAGGAGGCAGGUUUGGGUCAACCUGACAGCUGGUCAAUCCAAUGAAGUAACCUUGGUAGAAGAGAGGAAAGGGAGCUGCGAUCCCCACCCCCAUUAAAUCGUCCAAUCAAAUCGUUCAGUGAGCUAGCGCCGGCUGCCAAUCAACAAAGAAGCACCAAAGUGAUGAAGGACCUGUCAAAAGAAAAUAACUACUAAGGAUACGUUCCAGUUUACAUGCCUUUUAUUUUCUAUUUUUCACAUUUCUGAGAUUCUCCAACUACUUCAAAUCAUUGAUGAAAUCACAUGUUAGUUUGAAUGUUGCCUUCUGCCAGCUUUAACUCCUUACUGAGAAUGUGGAAAACGGGGCACCUAGUUGGCUCAGUUGGAAGCGCAAGUGAAUCUUGAUCUUGGGGUCAUGAGUUUGAGCCCCAAGUUGGAGGAAGAGACUACUAAAAAAAUAAAGAAAAACUUUUUUUUUGAAUGUAGAAAAAAGGACGCCUAAAAAUGGCACUACAAUCAAUGGUGUGCUGGUGAAUGUUUAACAACCACGAAGUGUUUGCAGGUUUCCAUGCUGUGAGUACUCUCAUCACAUCCACUGUCACGCUACUGAGUGAGGAGUUGGGAAGAAAUGUCAGUAUACUGUCAGAGGGUGCUAUUUGUUUCCCCAGUUUGGAUAUAAUAUUUUAUAGAAUGCUUUUUUGUUGCCUCUGAAUAAAAUAUAAAUUUCCAUUUAGU